UGAUAGUGCUAAUUGACGAUUGUAACUCAU
rnacentral:piRNA from 1 species